rnacentral:rRNA from 1 species
AGUGAACGCUGGCGGUAGGCCUAACACAUGCAAGUCGAACGGCAGCACAGUAAGAGCUUGCUCUUACGGGUGGCGAGUGGCGGACGGGUGAGGAAUACAUCGGAAUCUACUUUUUCGUGGGGGAUAACGUAGGGAAACUUACGCUAAUACCGCAUACGACCUACGGGUGAAAGCAGGGGAUCUUCGGACCUUGCGCGAUUGAAUGAGCCGAUGUCGGAUUAGCUAGUUGGCGGGGUAAAGGCCCACCAAGGCGACGAUCCGUAGCUGGUCUGAGACGAUGAUCAGCCACACUGGAACUGGGACACGGUCCAGACUCCUACGGGAGGCAGCAGUGUGGAAUAUUGGACAAUGGGCGCAAGCCUGAUCCAGCCAUACCGCGUGGGUGAAGAAGGCCUUCGGGUUGUAAAGCCCUUUUGUUGGGAAAGAAAAGCAGCAGGUUAAUACCCCGCUGUUCUGACGGUACCCAAAGAAUAAGCACCGGCUAACUUCGUG